CCAGACUCCUACGGGAGGCAGCAGUGGGGAAUAUUGCACAAUGGGGGGAACCCUGAUGCAGCGACGCCGCGUGGGCGAGGAAGUAUUUCGGUAUGUAAAGCCCUAUCGGCAGGGAAGAAGAAAUGACGGUACCUGAAUAAGAAGCACCGGCUAAAUACGUGCCAGCAGCCGCGGUAAUACGUAUGGUGCAAGCGUUAUCCGGAUUUACUGGGCGUAAAGGGAGCGCAGGCGGCGCGCCAAGUCUGAUGUGAAAGCCCGGGGCUCAACCGCGGGACUGCAUUGGAAACUGCGGGACUGGAGUGUCGGAGGGGUAAGCGGAAUUCCUGGUGUAGCGGUGAAAUGCGUAGAUAUCAGGAGGAACACCGGUGGCGAAGGCGGCUUACUGGACGAUGACUGACGCUGAGGCUCGAAAGCGUGGGGAGCAAACAGGAUUAGAUACCCCCGUAGAU
rnacentral:rRNA from 1 species